CUCGUUCCAACUGACGUGGCAUCAAAGGAGAAAUCUUAUGUGAUGAGAAGGCAAAUUCAGAAAUUCAAAUCCUGAUGGGUAACUCACCCCUAUCUUAGAUAAGAGCUUUGGGAGCCUGUGAGUUACAUGAAGGAAGAGACCCAAAGUCAAUGGUAUCUUGACAUGUUGGAGAUGCCACAUGUUCACAUUCUCACUGAGCCAGGGUGAGUUUGAACCAUCUCAGUCCUGGUACUCUAUAUGGAGACAACGAAGCUUUCUUGGAAACACAUUCUCCAGCCCC